rnacentral:rRNA from 1 species
CGAACGCUGGCGGCAUGCCUAACACAUGCAAGUCGAACGAAGUCUUCGGACUUAGUGGCGCACGGGUGCGUAACGCGUGGGAAUCUGCCCUUGGGUACGGAAUAACUCAGAGAAAUUUGUGCUAAUACCGUAUAAUGUCUUCGGACCAAAGAUUUAUCGCCCAAGGAUGAGCCCGCGUAAGAUUAGCUAGUUGGUGGGGUAAAAGCCUACCAAGGCGACGAUCUUUAGCUGGUCUGAGAGGAUGAUCAGCCACACUGGGACUGAGACACGGCCCAGACUCCUACGGGAGGCAGCAGUGGGGAAUAUUGGACAAUGGGCGAAAGCCUGAUCCAGCAAUGCCGCGUGAGUGAUGAAGGCCUUAGGGUUGUAAAGCUCUUUUACCCGGGAUGAUAAUGACAGUACCGGGAGAAUAAGCUCCGGCUAACUCC